rnacentral:rRNA from 1 species
GACGAACGCUGGCGGCGUGCUUAAUACAUGCAAGUCGAGCGCUCGGACGAUGAGUUUUGUUCGCUGGUGUUAGUGGCGGACGGGUGAGUAACACGUGGAUAACCUACCCACUAGUCUGGGAUAACUUCGGGAAACCGUAGCUAAUACCGGAUAUUCUUUUGAAUUGCCUUGUGCAUAGGUGAAAGACGUUGUUGCUGUGACUGAUAGGUGUACCGGCGCUGCAUUGGCUAGUUGGGUGGGUAACGGCUUAGCAAUGCACCGAUGCAUAGCCGACCUGAGGGGGUGAUCGGCGACACUGGAAAUGAGGCACGGUCCACACUCCUGAGGGAGGCAGGAGGAGGGAGUCUUGCGCAAUGCGCGAAAGCCUAAAGGAGCAACGCCGCGUGAGUGAUGAAGGUCUUCGGAUCGUAAAACUCUGUUAUUAGGGAAGAACAUAUGUGUAAGUACCUGUGCACAUCUUGACGGUACCUAAUAAGAAAGCGACGGCUAACUACGUG